CCUACGGGGGGCAGCAGUGGGGGAUAUUGCACAAUGGGGGGAACCCUGAUGCAGCGACGCCGCGUGGGUGAAGGAGCGUUUCGGCGCGUAAAGCCCUAUCGGCAGGGAAGAAGAUGACGGUACCUGACCAAGAAGCCCCGGCUAACUACGUGCCAGCAGCCGCGGUAAUACGUAGGGGGCAAGCGUUAUCCGGAUUUACUGGGUGUAAAGGGGGCGCAGACGGCAAUGCAAGCCAGGAGUGAAAGCCCGGGGCCCAACCCCGGGACUGCAUUUGGAACUGUGCUGCUAGAGUGUCGGAGAGGCAG
rnacentral:rRNA from 1 species